rnacentral:rRNA from 1 species
ACAAUUGAACGCUGGCGGCAGGCCUAACACAUGCAAGUCGAGCGGAUGAAGGGAGCUUGCUCCUGGAUUCAGCGGCGGACGGGUGAGUAAUGCCUAGGAAUCUGCCUGGUAGUGGGGGAUAACGUCCGGAAACGGGCGCUAAUACCGCAUACGUCCUGAGGGAGAAAGUGGGGGAUCUUCGGACCUCACGCUAUCAGAUGAGCCUAGGUCGGAUUAGCUAGUUGGUGGGGUAAAGGCCUACCAAGGCGACGAUCCGUAACUGGUCUGAGAGGAUGAUCAGUCACACUGGAACUGAGACACGGUCCAGACUCCUACGGGAGGCAGCAGUGGGGAAUAUUGGACAAUGGGCGAAAGCCUGAUCCAGCCAUGCCGCGUGUGUGAAGAAGGUCUUCGGAUUGUAAAGCACUUUAAGUUGGGAGGAAGGGCAGUAAGUUAAUACCUUGCUGUUUUGACGUUACCAACAGAAUAAGCACCGGCUAACUUCGUGCCAGCAGCCGCGGUAAUACGAAGGGUGCAAGCGUUAAUCGGAAUUACUGGGCGUAAAGCGCGCGUAGGUGGUUCAGCAAGUUGGAUGUGAAAUCCCCGGGCUCAACCUGGGAACUGCAUCCAAAACUACUGAGCUAGAGUACGGUAGAGGGUGGUGGAAUUUCCUGUGUAGCGGUGAAAUGCGUAGAUAUAGGAAGGAACACCAGUGGCGAAGGCGACCACCUGGACUGAUACUGACACGAGUCGAAAGCGUCCU